rnacentral:rRNA from 1 species
UUUCUGGUCUUGGACGGCGGUCUGCCUCAAACGAGGUACGCACCAUCUGUCCGGGUCCAUCCUCGGGGAAAAUAUAUCUGUGAUUCAGUUCAUGGGUAUAGGAUCCUUCGUCAUUUACUGUGAGCAAAAUAGGGUGUUCAAAGCAGGCUUAUGCCGUUGAAUACAUUAGCAUGGAAUAAUAAGAUAAGACCUUGGUCUAUUUUGUUGGUUUGCAUU